GGGGCGGUAGCAUAAUGGCUAAUGCGGUGUCCUUAUAACUCACUCACUAUGGGUUCGAUUCCCAUCCGCUCCA
rnacentral:tRNA from 1 species